GGAUUAGAAACCCGGGUAGUCCAUGCCGUAAACGGUGGGCGCUAGGUGUGAGCUCCUUCCACGGGGUUCGUGCCGUAGCUGACGCAUUAAGCGCCCCGCCUGGGGAGUACGGCCGCAAGGCUAAAACUCAAAGGAAUUGACGGGGGCCCGCACAAGCGGCGGAGCAUGUGGAUUAAUUCGAUGCAACGCGAAGAACCUUACCUGGGCUUGACAUGCACUGGAUCGGGCCAGAGAUGGUCUUUCCCUUUGUGGCUGGUGUGCAGGUGGUGCAUGGUUGUCGUCAGCUCGUGUCGUGAGAUGUUGGGUUAAGUCCCGCAACGAGCGCAACCCUUGUCUUAUGUUGCCAGCAUUUGGUUGGGGACUCAUGAGAGACUGCCGGGGUUAACUCGGAGGA
rnacentral:rRNA from 1 species